UUUUUUUUUUUUUUUUUAAUUUUUAGGGCCACACGGGGCAUAUGGAAGUUCCUAGACUAGGGGUCUAACCAGAGCUGCAGCUGUUGGCCUAUGCCACAGCCACAGCAACAGUGUAUUCGAGCCCCUUCUGUGACCUAUGCCUCAGCGUGCAGCAAUGCUGGAUCGUGAACCCACUGAGCGAGACCAGGGAUCGAAACCACAUCCUCAUGAAUACUAAUCUGGUUCUUAAUCCACUGAGCCACAGUGGGAACUCCUGCCCUCUCCUUUUCAAUCUCCUAUUUCCAAUAAUAUAAUCGCUACUUACCAAGUUAAGUUAAACAAGUUCAAUUUUGAGGAAUAGCCUAAGCUUCUCACUUUCUCCAUUCUCACUUAUCCAGUCAGCCAAGAAAUUCUGCUUAUUCUAUCAUGUCACAUUUCAUGAAGUCUACUAUAUUGCCUAUCAAUUAUCACAGUGUUAGGUCUACAGUAGAUAUGUGAAGAUGAUUUUUAAAUGAAUUAAUGAAUUCCUCUUCCCUCUGCCCCUAUUUGAGUUUGUGUUCUUCAUUAAUCUUUUCUCAUAUAUUGUAAUGCAUUCUCAAUAAAUCACUCAGUAUUUGUCUUUCUCUUUCUGACUUACUUCAUUUAGUAUAAUAAUCUGUAAUUUCAUCCAUGUUGCUACCAGUGGCAUUAUUUCAUUCAUUUUAUGGCUAAGUAGUAUUCCAUUGUACAUAUGGACCACAUCUUUUUAAUCCAUUCAUUCAUUGAUGGACAUUUAGGUUGUUUCCAUGUCUUGGCUAUUGUGAAUAGUGCAGGGAACCAUCUAUAAUCUCUUGGGAUACACCAUGAUGGAAGAUAAGAAAAAAAUGUGUGUGUGUGUGUGUGUGUGUGUGUGUGUAUGAUUAGGUCACUCUGCUGUACAGCAGAAAUCAUCACAAAGUAUAUCAACUAUACAUCAAUAAAAAGUUAAAAAACUUCAACAUUUACGAAAGUACAAAGUCUUAGAUGCACUCAACAUAUGUUGAUCUAGUGAAAUAAAUAUAUAUAAAAAUUUCAUAAUGCCCCAACAGAAAUAUAUCAAAAGUAAGAAAAUGAUAUAGAAUACAGCAAAGGGAUCUUUAGAAAUGCCACUUCGAAAAAGUGUGACCAAUUUUAAUAAAAACCAGUAGUUAGAAGAAUUCUGUUGAAAGCUAGAUAUCAAUCCAUUUGUGGUAUAGUUUACCAUGAAUACAUUCUUUCUCAUCGGAGAACUGCCAUUUAAAAUGUCUUUUCUUCAAGCUCUCCUCAGUAGUAAUGAGCUCAUAAAACAAAGAGCAAAAGCUGUUAAAGGCCAUACUCUUUAACAGGGGAAUAAGUUACUUCGUAAAGAUAUUAGGAAUUACCAAGGGAAUAAAGAAUAAAGGAGUAAAGAAUAUACUUGUCUUUUUAGGAAAACCAGUAGAUUUCAAAAUAUAACACAGAAAGCUAAUGACUUAGUAGUAUUAGUAGUUAAUGAAUUAAGUAAUUUUGAAUGUCUGCUUAUUAAUAUAUUCACCUAUGCAUUAUUUUCACAUAUUUUAAUAUCGUGUAAUAUAAUAUAAAUAAUGUUGAAUUAUUCAUUGUCCAAUAUAUAAUCCAAAAGUAUGAAAAAAUAAUACUAUUUUAAACUUACAUACAUAGAAAUAUAGCAUAUAAAAUGAAUAAGGUUUUUAUAAUGAGAUAGAAAAUUAUCUUCAUGCAAAAGGCUAUUUUCCUUCUUGAUGUAGAGGAAAUUUUAAGAAAAGUGAACUCAUGUGAUUCAUGUGUUCCUAUUAGGCCUGACUAGGUUCAGCAAUUUUCCUUAGAGAUCUAGCAUGAGAAAUUCAGAUACUGUCAAAAAAUGACAGUGGAUACUUAACUUGGAAGAAAAAAAUAAAUGUCCUAUUUCUAAUCAAGUCUUUAUUCACACUGAGAAUGUAUUACAUCAAAUAUUUUUCCUAAGAAAAGUCCUCUUUAAAAAACUUUUGGAGUUCUUGCAGUGGGCUCAGUGGAAACAAAUCCAACUAGUAUCCAUGAGGUUGCAGGUUCGUUCCCUGGCCUCACUCAGUGGGUUAAGGAUCCAGCGUUGCCAUGAGCUGUGGUGUAAGCCACAGACAUGGCUUGGAUCCUGUGUUGCUGUAGCUGUGGUGUAGGCUGGCAGCUACCACUCCAAUUUGACCCCUAGCCUGGGAUCUUCCAUAUGCCUCAGGUGUGGCCUUAAAAAGAAAAACAAAAAACAAACAAACAAAAAAAAACACUUUUAAACACUUAUUGUCUGCAUUUACUACUUAACUUUAAGAGAACAUUAGAUUUAAAUCAAGAUUAUUAAGAAAGAGGAAAUUGGGCAGAGUAAUAGAAGCAACGAAUAUUGCUUUACGCUGAAGUUUUAAUUUUUACUUAGAGAAUUUCCUGGAGUUCAGUUAGCCUGCAUGUUAUAGCAUAAAUUUGAGAAAUCUUUAGCAAAUUAUAAACAGGCUAGUAUAUUCUUGUUCUAUUUUCUCCCAUAGUUAAAACUGGAUUAAACUUCAAAAAGAUACCUGGAAGUAGGAAUCCAAGGAUAUUUCUCAAGUCUCUUAUCCUAACCUGUGUCAACUGUGCUUUAGUUGCAGUGGCAACCAUGCUUUGUGUCUUGGCUCUAGGCUUACACUACUAUAAAUCAGUACUGUUACUUUAAAUCAGUGAACAACAACAAUGAAGCCCUCAAAAUACACACACAUGUAAUAUUUAAAUAAAAUUUCAAAAUGGCUCCGUUAUUCAAGCUGCUUUUCAUAUAGAUGAUAUUUUUGCAUAUUUUAACAUUUAUUAUUCUUGUAAGGAAAACUGUAACAUGUGAAAUAGAGUAUAGCAAGUAGCAAACAGCUUGCUCUCUGCCCAUAGAAGCAGCAAAUGUCAUCUUAAGUAAAUCACAGUAACUUCCUCAGAAGCAAUUCUAGCACCCUUUGUAUCCUAAAGGCUAAUCUUGUGUUUAAAGCAGUAGUAGUUUCUAAGUUAGUCUUUCAUUCUGCUUUGUCUUUUGCUCAGAGACACAAAGAGAAACAAGGCAUUGUAUCUAAGGUAAUACCCAAACAUUACUCAGGAAUCAUUUAAUCACAGUCUUCAAAACAUAAUAUAGCUCAUUUAAAAAUACAUUAUUUUUUAUUCAUGCUUAAAGGAUGUGGAAAUUAUUGCUAUGAUAACCUGUUCUGUGAGAUUCAAAUAGUUUAAAUUUCAAGAAAUCGUAAACCCACUUUUCAGACAAUAGGUAAUGAAAAUCUCAAGUUCUUUUUCCAUUCCUAUAAUACCACAUUGAGAAUAAGAGGCAGUUUUUGGGUAAUUCUAAAGCUUGCAGUUGUUGGUAAUGAAAAUAAGCAUAUAGAACAAGAUGAUAAUGACAGGCCGAGUUACGUUGAAACAAAAGCUAUCUACUUCCUAAAGGUGUAUCUCUCUGGGGAUGAAAGACCUUGGAAAAUUUUACUGCUGUACAGUAAAUCUAUUUAUCAAUGGUUCACUAGCCCUUGCAAAAUGAAAAAAAAAAAAAAAGAUAUCAUCUUUGUUUGUACAAGUCACCUGGGGGUAUUUUAAUAAUGAAAAUGCACCAGCAGUCUCGGAGUAUAGCCUUUGAGCCCAUCUGAGACAGGGCCUACGACAAAGGGAAAAUAUGAAUAUUUCCUUGCUCUCUAUUUGUUAGGGAGUGUAUUGAAAAAAAUUACAUGGGAUAAAAUCAUUUAAAACAUAUAAAAUAACUGCAACAACAUCAUUUUUAUUUCUAUUGUGUUUGUAUAACUGGUAUAAAAUCAGAAAGAAAGUAUCAGAAUAAAUCGUUACUUCCUCAUCCCUUUCAAGAGAUGUGAAAAUGUAAAAUCAAGUCAUGCCCAUUUUUACUAUCUGUAUAUAUAGCCCUUUCCUUGACGAUUAGGAAGAUUGUGCUCCAAGGAAAGUAAGAAAGUAUCAUGCAGAGUUACUAGUUAUGUCACCUAUGUGCUUUUUCCAAUACCUUGGUUUAAAUCUCAAUCAGAGGAAAGUGUUAUUUGCUAUUUGUAACUCUACAUGGCAAAUAUUUUUCUUUCAAUUGUCAUGUUAAUAUUCCUCCUUUCAUAUUUUUAGUGCUGUUCCCAUUAAAACCAAUUUAUACAUUGGAGAAGUUAUUUUUUAUGUAGAUACUUUCUUAGCCAGAUUUAAAAAUUUAUCAUUAUAAGGGAAUAAAUAACAUGUCUAAGAAAAUAACCACAAUUUUUCAAUGAUGCUAAGCAGCACUUACAUUGUCUUGCAAAUUACAGAACAAUAAAUUGCUUGGACUUAUUUAGUAUAUAGCAGAAUGUAAGCUUAAAUGGGUAGAGAUUUCUAUUUUAUUCACUGAUAUAUUUGAGGCCCCUGAAAAAAUGACCUGCAGAGGGGGUUCUCAAUAAUAUUUGUUAAGUGAAUAUAUUUUUAUUUUGCUGCUCUUUUUUUUUUCCAAAGGAAAGAUACUGUCCUAAUGCUUUCAAUGGAAAUUCUUCCUCUCCUUCCCAUCUAUAUUCUCCUUCCAAAAGAAUAAAUUUAAAAAGAAAAUUAGUAGUAAAGUAGACUAAGGGAAAAAGCAGAGUAAAGUAAGAAAUCUGUUUGCUAUUAGCAUAACUGAAGGUAAAGCAUCCACUUAGGCAGCUUGACUUAAGGGGUGGUGAUUCUUGCUCAAAUUUAAUCAGGCUAUGUUAUUAUUUUAUAUUUAUUUAGUUACUCUACCUGAAAUGUUGUCUAAUAGAAAUUUAUUUGAACUCAUGAAUGUUUGUUAUAAAUGCAAAUAGCUCAGUAGGUUAAGGAAUAAUUAAUAAAGUAGCUUAAUUAGAUCACUUAGCACCCAAAAUUAUUUGCAAUCACUUUAACAGAGUAGAUAAAAAGCUUUCUUCCAAGAAAAAUACAGAUGAUUUCGAGCAUCCUGGUUAGGAAGCCAGUCAGACAAGUACAAGACAAUCGGAGUAUAGAGUUGGAUUUUGAGAUUGUGGGAAAUGCUCCAGGAAAUAGAAAAGGGAUACAAAGGGAAUGACGGAAUCAUGCAUAUUCCAUUUCAAAAUUUCUCUAUACUAGCCUUAUACCCCAAAAUUGUUUUGGGUGGAGGAAUGGCAUUUUUUUUUCUGCUUUUUCUUCAGAGGAUAACUAGCUCUGUUUUCAGAGGAGCAUCAAGACUGGCAGGAAAAAAAAAAAAAAAAAAAGGAGUUCCCAUUGUGGCCCAGUGGUUAUCGAAUCCGACUAGGAACCACAAGGUUUCGGGUUCGAUCCCUGGCCUUGCUCAGAGGGUUAAGGAUCUGGCGUUGCCCUGAGCUGUGGUGUAGGCUGCAGACGUGGCUUGGAUCCCGCGUUGCUGUGUGUGGCUCUGGCAUAGGCCGGCGGCUACAGCUCCGAUUAGACCCCUAGCCUAGGAACUUCCAUAUGCCGCGGGAGUGGCCCUCAAAAGGCAAAAGACAAAACAAAACAAAACAAAACAAAAGACUGGCAGAGCUUUCUCAGAAUCUUAUCUUAAAUGUGUAUG
rnacentral:lncRNA from 1 species